GACGAACGCUGGCGGCGUGCUUAACACAUGCCAGUCGAACGGAAAGGCCCUGCUUUUGUGGGGUGCUCGAGUGGCGAACGGGUGAGUAACACGUGAGUAACCUGCCCUUGACUUUGGGAUAACUUCAGGAAACUGGGGCUAAUACCGGAUCGGAGCUCCUGCUGCAUGGUGGGGGUUGGAAAGUUUCGGCGGUUGGGGAUGGACUCGCGGCUUAUCAGCUUGUUGGUGGGGUAGUGGCUUACCAAGGCUUUGACGGGUAGCCGGCCUGAGAGGGUGACCGGCCACAGUGGGACUGAGAUACGGCCCAGACUCCUACGGGAGGCAGCAGUGGGGAAUAUUGCACAAUGGGCGGAAGCCUGAUGCAGCAACGCCGCGUGCGGGAUGACGGCCUUCGGGUUGUAAACCGCUUUCGCCUGUGACGAAGCGUGAGUGACGGUAAUGGGUAAAGAAGCACCGGCUAACUACGUG
rnacentral:rRNA from 1 species